rnacentral:rRNA from 1 species
UACGAAGGGGGCAAGCGUUGUUCGGAAUUACUGGGCGUAAAGCGCACGUAGGCGGCUUUGUAAGUUAGAGGUGAAAGCCUGGGGCUCAACUCCAGAAUUGCCUUUAAGACUGCAUCGCUUGAAUCAUGGAGAGGCGAGUGGAAUUCCGAGUGUAGAGGUGAAAUUCGUAGAUAUUCGGAAGAACACCAGUGGCGAAGGCGGCUCGCUGGACAUGUAUUGACGCUGAGGUGCGAAAGCGUGGGGAGCAAACAGG